CGAAAAGUUAUGUCUAUUUUAUUAGACAGCGUGCAACUGGAUGUUUCGUUCGCUCUAACUAUCAUCUGUUGACCCCCAAACGCGAUCACGACUUAAUUCCUUGAGCUUUUACUCAGAUUUCAAAACUCUAAAUUACUUGAAUUCAUUCCAUAAUAUAUAUAUAGCUCAAAAUCACUCCUACAAGGCAUAAAACACACAGUUAGUGCAUGACACUAACGAUUAAAGCGCAAACUCAAUCAAAAUGCAGUAAAUUUGAGUGCAAUAAGCGACUAAAAUACAUAAUUAUAGCCUAUCAUCAUGGACCCAAAAAGGCCACUUGUCUAAAAAAAAUAAAAAAGCCUCAUAGAAUUGGUCAACCCUGCAUAUUCCCUAAAUAAUUAUCAUUUUGCUUAAUCAAACCUUUAAUUAACCUCACCAGCCAUUAUUUUUAGUAUUAGUACUCAGGUUUCUUUUUGUGGAUGGGCCACAAUGUCCACGUUCUUGUUGAUUGAUGCAGGAUUUCGAUCAUUUUAUUACAUUGUUAAUUAAUUUGAUUUGAUUGCGUUCUUAUUCUUGAUAGUGUAUUCGUGUCACACUCUCAUUGCUUCGUUGUGCCAUGGAUUUAUAAAUAUCUUAUUAACAUUAUUAAACUAAUGAUAUUAUUCGAUGUGAUUUGCAGAAAGAGGGAUUACCCGAUACAAACAUAAAUCUUGCAUUCUUGCAGAUUCUUCGGCCAUACGACAAAUUAAAUGCUACAUCUGAUCUUAUCUCACAUCUAAGCCAAAAAUAACCCCUUUUCCUGCAACCAUCGAUUAGCCAAGUCAACAACAAAAAUGUUAAUAUAUUAAUUUUCAAUAUUAACUCAAUUAAUUAAAAUUAUGGUGUAAUUCGGCAGAACCAAAGAACCAGCUUCAAGUUGUAAAACAGCUGUCAGAAGAGAAACCUUUUUCUAACGAAAGUAGUAGUAUUCAGUAAUCUCAGGUAUGUAGACAGAAAGAUGCACAUGCAUAUAGAAAUCCAAAAAGAACUAUCCAAAAUAACGAAAUAAGUACUGUGAAAUGUCCACCAAAAUCUCAUCAGCGAUAACCGAGUAUGUUAAACAAACAAAAUUUAGGGAAAAACUCACCAGAAUUGAGGUAAAUAAAGUACAGGGAAAAAAUAACUUGAAAUUCAACAUGAGUUUUGAGAAGGAAAGGACUUCUACAUCACUGUUUUCCUUUCCUUUUUCUAGCAGCCACCGGCUAUCAUCUCCGACGAAUUAGACAAUUGUUGAGCAUGUUUGAAAUAACAGAGGAAAAACAAAAAGAAAGUGUUAAAUAUUGUAUCCGUACAAACGAUGAUUGAAGAACCAAAUCUCAAAACAUCAAAGAACUCCAAAAGGAAACAAAAAGCAGAUAACAAUCAAAUAAAUAAUAAAAUUAAAAAGAAGAAAAGCAGAAAGAUUAAGCAGAGAAACAUAUAGAGAAGCCGAAAGAGGAGGAGGACAGAGAAAGUGAGAAUUGAAAAGAAGAUGACCCGAAGUUACUUUCAAGUGGGUCUGUCUCCCCCCAAGAGAACGUUUACCAUAAUGCCCUUCAGGACUUAGAAGUAAUUAAUUAAAUAUUUUGCAUUUUAUUGGAAUUUUUG
rnacentral:lncRNA from 1 species